AACGAACGCUGGCGGCAGGCUUAACACAUGCAAGUCGAACGCAUCGCAAGAUGAGUGGCAGACGGGUGAGUAACGCGUGGGAACAUACCCUUUUCUACGGAAUAGCUCGGGGAAACUGGAAUUAAUACCGUAUACGCCCUACGGGGGACAGAUUUAUCGGGGAAGGAUUGGCCCGCGUUGGAUUAGCUAGUUGGUGGGGUAAAGGCCUACCAAGGCGACGAUCCAUAGCUGGUCCGAGAGGAUGAGCAGCCACAUUGGGACUGGGACACGGCCCAAACUCCUACGGGAGGCAGCAGUGGGGAAUAUUGGACAAUGGGCGCAAGCCUGAUCCAGCCAUGCCGCGUGAGUGAUGAAGGCCUUAGGGUUGUAAAGCUCUUUCACCGAUGAAGAUAAUGACGGUAGUCGGAGAAGAAGCCCCGGCUAACUUCGUGCCAGCCGCCGCCGUAA
rnacentral:rRNA from 1 species